rnacentral:rRNA from 1 species
UGACGAGUGGCGGACGGGUGAGUAAUGUCUGGGAAACUGCCUGAUGGAGGGGGAUAACUACUGGAAACGGUAGCUAAUACCGCAUAACGUCGCAAGACCAAAGAGGGGGACCUUCGGGCCUCUUGCCAUCAGAUGUGCCCAGAUGGGAUUAGCUAGUAGGUGGGGUAACGGCUCACCUAGGCGACGAUCCCUAGCUGGUCUGAGAGGAUGACCAGCCACACUGGAACUGAGACACGGUCCAGACUCCUACGGGAGGCAGCAGUGGGGAAUAUUGCACAAUGGGCGCAAGCCUGAUGCAGCCAUGCCGCGUGUAUGAAGAAGGCCUUCGGGUUGUAAAGUACUUUCAGCGGGGAGGAAGGCGAUGCGGUUAAUAACCGCGUCGAUUGACGUUACCCGCAGAAGAAGCACCGGCUAACUCCGUGCCAGCAGCCGCGGUAAUACGGAGGGUGCAAGCGUUAAUCGGAAUUACUGGGCGUAAAGCGCACGCAGGCGGUCUGUCAAGUCGGAUGUGAAAUCCCCGGGCUCAACCUGGGAACUGCAUCCGAAACUGGCAGGCUUGAGUCUCGUAGAGGGGGGUAGAAUUCCAGGUGUAGCGGUGAAA